GAGUUUGAUCAUGGCUCAGAUUGAACGCUGGCGGCACGCCUAACACAUGCAAGUCGAGCGGUAACAUGAUGUGUAGCAAUACACAUUGAUGACGAGCGGCGGACGGGUGAGGAAUACGUAGGAACCUGCCCUCAAGCGGGGGACAACCAAGGGAAACUUUGGCUAAUACCGCAUAUACUCGAAAGAGGAAAGCUGCCCGCAAGGGUGGCACUUGAGGAGGGGCCUGCGUCCGAUUAGCUAGUUGGUGAGGUAAGAGCUCACCAAGGCGAUGAUCGGUAACUGGUCUGAGAGGACGACCAGUCACACUGGGACUGAGACACGGCCCAGACUCCUACGGGAGGCAGCAGUGGGGAAUAUUGGACAAUGGGGGCAACCCUGAUCCAGCGAUGCCGCGUGAGUGAAGAAGGCC
rnacentral:rRNA from 1 species